AUUUAGAUCUUUCGACUACAAACGCAGGCAAAUCGAAGCUCACAAAUGGGUAAGGCAGCAAUACCCAUCAUGUUGGUGCCAAUCAACAAAAUCCAACUACAGACAUCACAGAAACCGGGAGGUCAGGGUCGGAAUGAUUUGUAACCGGAGAAAUCUCUUAUUGUUUGUAACGCUUGCAGCAAGUGGUUCUAGGUAAAAAUGACUUUAACCACCGCAGGAGUUACAACCCCAUUUCCAGGCGGAAUGUGAUAUUAACGAAAUAUGGAUCCUCUAUCCUUCUUUUCUCCAGCACCGGACCGCAGUUCUGACUACCUACACGCAAGAUGCUCCUGUAGAAAGUGAAAUGUCGCAAGUUUGCUGCUCCUUAUUAUCUACACAUUCUUCACUCUAAAAAAAUUGUAAAAAAAAACAUUUAAAUAAAAACAGUUUUUUGUUGUGUA